AGCUGUAUAGAUGCUUCAUGGUAGAGUAUCUGCUUUGCAUGCAGAAGGUCCCAGGUUCGAUCCCGGACAUUUCCAGGUAAGGCUC